GGAUAUGAGGGCAAUCUAGCUGCAACAUCUGUCACCCCAUUGAUCACCAGGGUUGAUUUGGCUGAUCUGGCUGGCUAGGCAAGUGUCCCCUUCCUCUCUCACUGCUUCAUGUGUGUCCCUGCCGAAACUGCAUGCCUUGUUGAAAAGGAUGACCAUCCCCAGUAGAGGAGGACCAAGGUCAAGGAUAUACGAGCAGCUGUACUCCCUUGCCAGAACCUCCAAAUAAGCUCUCAAGAACUCUCAUAACUCAAUAGCAAAGGAAAAUAACUAGUUUACAAAGUGGCCAAAGGAUUAAAAUAGACACUUAAGUAUGCCUAUUU
rnacentral:snRNA from 1 species